CUGGGGUUCGGGUCGGCGGUUUGCCGCUAUGCGGCUACUGCCGUGCUCGACUCUUUCUAGCCGGUGCGUCUGCAAGUGCUCUUCACUGAGUGCUUGCAGAGCCUGGCAUGUUUACUUUGAAAAAAUUAGAGUGCUCAAAGCAGGCGCUUGCGCCUGAAUAGUGUUGCAUGGAAUAAUGGAAUAGGACCUCGGUUCUAUUUUGUUGGUUUUCGGAACUUGAGGUAAUGAUUAAGAGGGACGGUCGGGGGCAUUCGUAUUUCGGUGUUAGAGGUGAAAUUC
rnacentral:rRNA from 1 species